rnacentral:rRNA from 1 species
GUUGAAACCAGGAUUAGAUACCCCGUUAUUCUUAACAGUAAAUAGUUGUGCUUUAGUAGUAUUAGUUAUAUUCUUGAAAUUUAAAGAAUUUGGCGGUAUCUCAGUCUAGCUAGAGGAACCUGUCCUGUAAACGAUAGUCCCCGCAUAAUCUUACUUUCUUAUAUAUGAUAGCUUGUAUAUCGCCAUUAUUAGAUGAUUUUUAAAAAAAUUAUCACAAAAACAUUGAGCUAGGAAAUUAGGUCAAGGUGCAGCUUAUGGGAAAGUAGAGAUGGGUUACAAUAAAAUAAGUUUAUUACGGAUAUUUAUUCUGAAAUAAUAUAUUGAAGGCGGAUUUAGUUGUAAUUCUCUGUUAAUAAGUGAGAAUGAUAAAAGCUCUGAGAUAUGUACACAUCGCCCGUCGCUCGCGGGAAAA